rnacentral:rRNA from 1 species
GACGAACGCUGGCGGCGUGCUUAACACAUGCAAGUCGAACGGAAAGACCCUGCUUUUGUGGGGUGCUCGAGUGGCGAACGGGUGAGUAACACGUGAGUAACCUGCCCUUGACUUUGGGAUAACUUCAGGAAACUGGGGCUAAUACCGGAUAGGAGCUCCUGCUGCAUGGUGGGGGUUGGAAAGUUUCGGCGGUUGGGGAUGGACUCGCGGCUUAUCAGCUUGUUGGUGGGGUAGUGGCUUACCAAGGCUUUGACGGGUAGCCGGCCUGAGAGGGUGACCGGCCACAUUGGGACUGAGAUACGGCCCAGACUCCUACGGGAGGCAGCAGUGGGGAAUAUUGCACAAUGGGCGGAAGCCUGAUGCAGCAACGCCGCGUGCGGGAUGACGGCCUUCGGGUUGUAAACCGCUUUCGCCUGUGACGAAGCGUGGGUGACGGUAAUGGGUAAAGAAGCACCGGCUAACUACGUG